AAUAGAUACCCUGGUAGUCCACGCUGUAAACGUUGGGCGCUAGGUGUGGGGGGGCCUCUCCGGUUCCCUGUGCCGCAGCUAACGCAUUAAGCGCCCCGCCUGGGGAGUACGGCCGCAAGGCUAAAACUCAAAGGAAUUGACGGGGGGCCCGCACAGGCGGCGGAGCAUGCGGAUUAAUUCGAUGCAACGCGAAGAACCUUACCUGGGUUUGACAUGGCCGCAAAACUGUCAGAGAUGGCAGGUCCUUCGGGGGUCGGGUCACAGGUGGUGCAUGGCUGUCGUCAGCUCGUGUCGUGAGAUGUUGGUUAAGUCCGCAACGAGCGCAACCCUCGUUCGAUGUUGCCAGCGCGUUAUGGCGGGGACUCAUCGAAGACUGCCGGGGUCAACUCGGAGGAAGGUGGGGAUGACGUCAAGUCAUCAUGCCCCUUAUGUCCAGGGCUUCACGCAUGCUACAAUGGCCGGUCAAUGGGCUGCGAUACCGUGAGGUGGAGCGAAUCCCAAAAACGCCGGUCUCGAGUUCGGAUCGGGGUCUGCAACCG
rnacentral:rRNA from 1 species